rnacentral:lncRNA from 1 species
AUCAUGAUGCUCUUCAUGAACGGCGUCGUGGAUUCGGCGUGAACAAAGGCGGUUCGUGGAUUCGGAUCGUUGGCUCGUGGAUUCGAGUGGCGUUGUGGAUUCGGCGUGAUUGAAGCUUCGUGGAUUCGAAGUGGAGGCGUUCGUGGAUUCGAACGUGAGGGCGUGGACAACCCGGAGGGUAGCGCGAAGAUUCAUAGGAGGUUAAGAGAGGUUGAGUCCGUGAAGUCAGUAAUCACUUUGUA